AUGUUUAGAGCCAGCAAGCAUACAAAAAGCCAUGUGGUUGGCCAGAAGAAUGGAAAAAUCAUGUCCUCCCACACAACCAACCAGGAACUACUCUGCUCCCUACAAAAAUUGCCUGCCAUGGAACCAGCCAAGACUGUGGUGCACAGCAACUCAACAGCAGCCACUGUUAUUCAGCAAGUAAGAGAGAAGGGAAUAUGUUACAAAUGCAGAGAACCCUGGUUUCCAGGUCACAAACAAGUUUGCAAAAUGUCUCAGAGAGCCCAAGUGCAAGCCUUGCAAGAACAAAGUACUAACAAUCCUGAUGUCAUUUACAUUAUGGAUGCUGAAGAUGAAAUAUCUGAAACUGAGGAAGAACCACUUGACAGUACAGAACUUAAGAUAUCUAUGCAUGCAGCAACUGGAGAGCCUGAAGAGAAACCUAAACAUACAUUUACACUGCAUGUUCAGAUUGGGAACACCAGUGCAUUAGCUCUUGUGGAUAGUGGCAGCACUACUACCUUUAUAUCUCAUAAAAUUGCUUUGAAGGCUGGUUGUGAUAUUACACCAGUAAAACAAGUAAAAGUGACAGUGGCAAAUGGAGGACAACUCCUGAGUGAUUUCUCCUGUCUCAAAGCAGAGUAUAAAAUAUAG
rnacentral:rRNA from 1 species